AUUGAACGCUGGCGGCAGGCCUAACACAUGCAAUUCGAACGAGUGGCGGACGGGUGAGUAAUGUCUGGGAAACUGCCUGAUGGAGGGGGAUAACUACUGGAAACGGUAGCUAAUACCGCAUACCAUCGGAUGUGCCCAGAUGGGAUUAGCUAGUAGGUGGGGUAACGGCUCACCAAGGCCACGAUCCCUAGCCGGUCUGAGAGGAUGACCAGCCACAAUGGAACUUAGGCACGGUUCAGAGUCGUACGGGAGGCAGCAGUGGGGAAUAUUGCACAAGGGGCGCAAGCCUGAUGCAGCCAUGCCGCGUGUAUGAAGAAGGCCUUCGGGUUGUAAAGUACUGUCAGCGGGGAGGCGUUACCCGCAGAAGAAGCACCGGCUAACUCCGUGCUCGCAGCCGCGGUAAUAC
rnacentral:rRNA from 1 species